CCAAAAAGGCUUAUUUUUUUGCGCCGUCGAGGGCAGCAACCUGCAGCCUCUGGAAGAGAAGCCGGCCAACUCCUGAGAUCCGGUUUAGGACCGAGAACUGGGGGUGGUGGGUGUUGAGGGAAGACUCCUGCUUUGGAGUUGACGCCUAGCGGUGAUUGAAGACCUGGAGGGCGACUUCCUGGAACCGGCUCCGAUCCCUAGGCGAGACCCAGCACACCCGCACGAAGAGGAGCCAGCGCGAAAAACAAAGCCCCGCGGCCAGCUAGCAGAGGAUGGCCAAUACCUUCUCUUCCCUGCUGUGUUGCACUGUCCAUCCCUAUGCUUCAUGCACUUCUCGACAAAGCUUUUCCACCAUGCAGCUUUCUGGCCUGUCUACAUUUGAAAAGAGACAGCUUAGCCAGUCAACACUACCAUAGCUGGAGACAACCUGUGGCGUCCCCAAGGAUGACAGAUGGAAAGACCCACGGCCACCAGAGACCAAGUAGCAGCUGCCCUUUGCCAAUCAAGGGGAAGACAGCAGGGCCCGACUCUAAUGUAGACAUAUGGAAAAUAUCCUGAGAAGAGAGAAAUGUUUUAUAAGGCUGCACCAUAUUGAUGUUCAGAAGAUGGUAACAAUCCUACAGUGAGUCCGGUUGGUUGUAAUUUUGAAUAGAGGCCAUGGUGAAUCCUGUUGGCAGAUCUGUCUUUCACAUUACUUGGGGCAGUCAACUCUUAGUGGCCCCAAGAUCCUAUUUCAUUUGGCUUUGAAGACAAGUUUUGGGCAGGACCAAGAAUGGAGAUUGGCAAGACUUUUUUAAAAAAAUUAAAAAGUCAUUAAAAUUAAAAACUAAUUCUUUAGAAAGAGUGAAUUCUGAAAGCAGUCUUCGUCACUAAAAUAAAGGAGAAGGUUCUAGGUGCCAUGUUACAGGACCUGGAAUGACUGCAGAACUUUCAGCUGUCCAUGUAUAUUUUUCCUAUGUUGAUUUUAGGCUCAAUGUAUCUUUUGCUGAUCCUUGGCAAAGCAUUAUAGAUUUGAAUGGUUUUCUAUUAAUAAUGCUGUAUCCCAUAUAGGUCAUCAUUUAACCAUUAGGGUACUUUAAA